rnacentral:ncRNA from 2 species
AAGAUGUAUGCUCAUGCUCGCUGUCGUCGCAGGGGAAUCCGGUGUGAAUCCGGAACUGUCCCGCAACGGUGUACUUAUGCGUGUUCCGGCAUGUAUGAGCGUCAGUCCGAGGACCUGCCGACAGUGUGCCCGGCCG